rnacentral:rRNA from 1 species
GACGAACGCUGGCGGCGUGCUUAACACAUGCAAGUCGAGCGGUAAGGCCCUUUCGGGGUACGACGAGCGGCGAACGGGUGAGUAACACGUGGGUGACCUGCCCUCAGCUCUGGGAUAAGCCUGGGAAACCGGGUACUAAUACCGGAUAUGACUCCAUGACGCAUGUUGUGGGGUGGAAAGCCUUGUGCGGCUGAGGAUGGGCCCGCGGCCUAUCAGCUUGUUGGUGGGGUGAUGGCCUACCAAGGCGACGACGGGUAGCCGGCCUGAGAGGGCGACCGGCCACACUGGGACUGAGACACGGCCCAGACUCCUACGGGAGGCAGCAGUGGGGAAUCUUGCGCAAUGGGCGAAAGCCUGACGCAGCGACGCCGCGUGA